rnacentral:rRNA from 1 species
CACUAUGCCAUGCCACCCUGAACGUGCCCGAUCUCGUCUGAUCUCAGAAGCUAAGUAGGGUCGGGUUUGGUUAGUACUUGGAUGGGAGACCACCUAGGAAGAACAGGUGAUGCAGGCA